rnacentral:misc_RNA from 1 species
CGUCGAAGGUGGGGCUGAUGACUGGGGUGAAGUCGUAACAAGGUAUCCGUACCGGAAGGUGCGGAUGGAUCACCUCCUAACAGGGAGACAACACAAUGAUUUUGAUGCCUGAGUGCUUUUAUUCUUAGGCCGAAAUCCUGUCACCUUAGGUCGAUCGGUACCUCAGCUUUGAAGUCAAGGAUCAGCAGCAAUGUUGAUUGCUUGAUGGAGAUUUUCAGUUCCUAAACUUUGUCUAGGUCACACCCCAAAAGGGAUGAGACUCCUGGGCCAUUAGCUCAGGUGGUUAGAGCGCACCCCUGAUAAGGGUGAGGUCCCUGGUUCAAGUCCAGGAUGGCCCAUUCGGUGUUGGGGGUUUAGCUCAGUUGGUAGAGCGCCUGCUUUGCAAGCAGGAUGUCAGGAGUUCGAGUCUCCUAACCUCCACUGACCGAACUUAAUUCCCAUCUCCAAUUUUUUGGAGUUGAGCUCGAUUGGAGUGUGAUUUAGAUGUGUCCGCUGGAUGACCCCAGCUUCCUGUCAUUCCAAGUUUUAGAUUUUAAGUCUUGAAUUUGGUUGAUAAGAUGCUGGGCUCGGAUCAAAUGAUCAAGCAAUUGAUGAUUUGAUUUGAAGUUCUAGCAGAACCUUGACAACUGCAUAGGUGAGUCUGGAAAAAACAAAGCAUCUUACAGAUGCAUUGUUUUGAAUCUGAUCUUCUGAAAGGGAGAUUAGAUCUAGAACAAUGAAAAUUCUUUUGAGCAAGAGCCGAGACUCUUGAGCGUUCUUUGAUUGGUGUCGAGCCAAUCAGAGUUUGAUCUUGUUUUUAGCAAUAAAAACUUGAGAAUCUGCUUUCAACGGCGGUAAGCGUUCAGGAGGUUAAUUGGUCAAGCUACAAAGGGCUCACGGCG